rnacentral:rRNA from 1 species
GGGUUGUGAGGUUAAGCGACUAAGCGUACACGGUGGAUGCCCUGGCAGUCAGAGGCGAUGAAGGGCGUGCUAAUCUGCGAUAAGCGCCGGUAAGGUGAUAUGAACCGUUAUAACCGGCGAUACCCGAAUGGGGAAACCCAGUGUGAUUCGUCACACUAUCAUUAACUGAAUCCAUAGGUUAAUGAGGCGAACCGGGGGAACUGAAACAUCUAAGUACCCCGAGGAAAAGAAAUCAACCGAGAUUCCCCCAGUAGCGGCGAGCGAACGGGGAGGAGCCCAGAGCCUGAAUCAGCAUGUGUGUUAGUGGAAGCGUCUGGAAAGUCGCGCGAUACAGGGUGACAGCCCCGUACACAAAAGCGCAUGUGUUGUGAGCUCGAUGAGUAGGGCGGGACACGUGGUAUCCUGUC